rnacentral:rRNA from 1 species
GACGAACGCUGGCGGCGUGCUUAACACAUGCAAGUCGAACGGAAAGGCCCUGCUUUUGUGGGGUGCUCGAGUGGCGAACGGGUGAGUAACACGUGAGUAACCUGCCCUUGACUUUGGGAUAACUUCAGGAAACUGGGGCUAAUACCGGAUAGGAGCUCCUGCUGCAUGGUGGGGGUUGGAAAGUUUCGGCGGUUGGGGAUGGACUCGCGGCUUAUCAGCUUGUUGGUGGGGUAGUGGCUUACCAAGGCUUUGACGGGUAGCCGGCCUGAGAGGGUGACCGGCCACAUUGGGACUGAGAUCCGGCCCAGACUCCUACGGGAGGCAGCAGUGGGGAAUAUUGCACAAUGGGCGGAAGCCUGAUGCAGCAACGCCGCGUGCGGGAUGACGGCCUUCGGGUUGUAAACCGCUUUCGCCUGUGACGAAGCGUGAGUGACGGUAAUGGGUAGAGAAGCACCGGCUAACUACGUG